GGUGAACGCUGGCGGCGUGCCUAAGACAUGCAAGUCGAGCGGGGCAGGUUUAUCCCUGUUCAGCGGCGGACGGGUGAGUAACGCGUGGGUGACCUACCCGGAAGAGGCGGACAACCUGGGGAAACCCAGGCUAAUCCGCCAUGUGGUCCUGUCCUGUGGGGCAGGACUAAAGGGGCGACCCGCUUCCGGAUGGGCCCGCGUCCCAUCAGCUAGUUGGUGGGGUAAAGGCCCACCAAGGCGACGACGGGUAGCCGGUCUGAGAGGAUGGCCGGCCACAGGGGCACUGAGACACGGGCACCACUCCUACGGGAGGCAGCAGUUAGGAAUCUUCCGCAAUGGACGGAAGUCUGACGGAGCGACGCCGCUUGGAGGAGGAAGCCCUGCGGGGUGUAAACUCCUGAACUGGGGACGAAAGCCCCGUGUAGGGGGAUGACGGUACCCAGGUAAUAGCGCCGGCCAACUCCGUG
rnacentral:rRNA from 1 species